AAGAGACGUAUUUAUUAGAUAAAGACCGACCUCGUUCUGCGGUGAAUCAUGAUAACUUCACGGACCGCAUGGCCUCGUGCCGGCGGUGUUCCAUUCAAAUUUCUGCCCUAUCAACUUUCGACGGUAGGAUAGAGGCCUACCGUGGUGUUAACGGGUGACGGAGAAUUAGGGUUCGAUUCCGGAGAGGGAGCCUGAGAAACGGCUACCACAUCCAAGGAAGGCAGCAGGCGCG
rnacentral:rRNA from 1 species